CUGAAAGAGGCUGGCUUGGGGCCGUGGUGAAACUGCCUCCUCACCAUCCGUCCUGCCUCCCUGGUGCCCCCAGAGCCUUCUGAUGAAGAUUGACGCCUUCCACUACGUGCAGCUGGGGACAGCCUACAGGGGCCUCCAGCCUGUGCCAGACGAGGAGGUGAUUGAGCUGUAUGGGGGUACCCAGCACAUCCCACUAUACCAGAUGAGUGGCUUCUAUGGCAAGGGUCCCUCCAUUAAGCAGUUCAUGGACAUCUUCUCGCUACCGGAGAUGGCUCUGCUGUCCUGUGUGGUGGACUACUUUCUGGGCCACAGCCUGGAGUUUGACCAAGCACAUCUCUACAAGGACGUGACGGACGCCAUCCGAGACGUGCAUGUGAAGGGCCUCAUGUACCAGUGGAUCGAGCAGGACAUGGGUAAGU
rnacentral:sRNA from 1 species